ensembl:lncRNA
CUCUAAUGUUACUUAUCACGCAGCGUCGGAGCCUUUACGUUCACUCCACCCAGACAUCACCCCGAGAGUCUCACAACACCGACACACCGGUUUAAACAGAGAGUCACCCUGUAAAACUACGCGUCGACCAUUGCUAACUGCCUUGAUGUCAGCUCGUUCGCAGGUUGCCAUUGUCUAGUAAACAACCCUCCUUACUGCUAGCCGAUGUGGCUAGCUCCCGUUAGCAUCAGCUGCGGGUCCUACGUUUGACUGAACCUAGCUCCCGCCUGCCGCCGCCGCCGCUGCGCGUGAGUUCGGCCUGUUUGAAGCGUCGCCGUGGAUGUGUUCUGCGGACGUAGCGUUCAAGGUGCUUAAAAGCGUCGCCGUUCUCCUGACUAACUAACGGGAAAAGAGGAGAGGUUGACGCUAGCGCAGAUUGAAGAGCUCUGUUCCUAAAGAAAGGUGUCUGCUGGUUUGGACACACACACGUGUGCUUGUUUCUGUAGCUUGUUUGUUUGCAUGCGUCGCUGAAGCCCUCGCCUGAUGGAGAAGCGAGAACGGAAGCCGGGGUACUUUGCAAGGUGUCUGAGUACAGAGAUGCUGGUGGAAAGGUGGCAUGCAUCACUGCUCUUGCAUGGACGGUUGAGCUGCGGUGGUGUACAAUUACAAAUUCGAUCAAAGUGCCAGACGAUACUGUGUGGGAGGGAGGGUGCUCAAAAGAUGCUUGCUACGGCUACACAUUGUAUACCAACAACACUCCAAAG